rnacentral:rRNA from 1 species
AGAGUUUGAUCCUGGCUCAGAACGAACGUUAGCGGCGCGCUUAACACAUGCAAGUCGCACGAGAAAGGGCUUCGGCCCCGGUAAAGUGGCGCACGGGUGAGUAACACGUGGAUAACCUUCCCUCGGGCGGGGGAUAACACUCCGAAAGGAGUGCUAAUACCGCAUAAGACCACGUCCUCGAAAGGGGAUGAGGUCAAAGC